rnacentral:rRNA from 1 species
CAUAAACACAGGGAACUGAAACAUCUUAGUACCUGUAGGAAGAUUUAUCUAGGAUAUUCUGUUAGUAGCGGUGAGUGAAACCAGACCUUGGCUGUUUAUUUUGUUGUCAACAACAAUUGUUUGAAAAAACAAGCAACAAAGGUAAUAGCCCUUGAAUUUGUUUGGCAUCAGAAUUAUGAAUAAAGUAGAACGAGACACGAUAAACCUCGUUCGAAUAUAGGAGGACCACCUUCUAAGCCAAAAUAUAUAUGCAUAACCGAUAGUGAACUAGUACCGUGAGGGAAAGGUGAAAUAGAUAUCCGAACAGGAUAGUGAAACAGAUCCUGAAACCGGAUGCUAACAAGCAGUCGGAGGAUUAAAAGAUCUGACGACGUACCUUUUGUAUAAUGGGUCAACGAGUUGUUGUUGCAAGCAAAGCUUAUAAUUGAAUCUAGGCGAAGCGAAAGCAAGUCCACAAAGGGCAAUAAUAAGUUUGCAGCUUCAAACCCGAAACCGAGUGAUCUAACCAUGGACAGAUUGAAGGUUAAUAUUUAUUGACUGAAGGAUCGAACCCGUACGUGUUGCAAAACGUUGGGAUGAUCUGUGGUUAGGGGUGAAAGGCCAAUCAAACUCGGAGAUAGCUGGUUCUCUGCGAAACCUAUGUAGGUAGGUUGUUAAUUGUAUCUCAACAGGGGUAGAGCUCUGGAUGAACAGUUAAAAUGAAGAAUUUUAUUAAAGUUCAACCAAACUUUGAAUACUGUUGUUGAAUUUAAUUGAUAAUCACACUGCGAGCGAUAACGUCCGUAGUGGAGAGGGAAACAACCCAGACCUUUGAUCAAGGUCCUUAAAUCUGAACUAAGUGAGAAAGGCUGUAAAUGUUCGAAGACGAUCAGGAUGUAGGCUUAGAAGCAGUCAUCAUCUAAGGAAAGCGUAACAGCUCACUGAUUGAUGGAUAUUUAUGCCGAAAAUGUAACGGGACUAAGUUCAGUACCGAAGUCAAGGACAUUGCCGAUUUGAGCAAUGUGGUAGCAGAGCAUUCCGUAAGUCAUAGAAGGCAAUCCGUGAGGGUUGUUGGAGACAUCGGAAGCGAGAAUGUUGACAUGAGUAACGAUAAUUGAAAGUAAGAAUCUUUCACACCGAAAGACCAAGGUUUCCUAUUCCAGGAUGUUCCGAAUAGGGUUAGCCGGUACCUUAGGCCAAGCGCAAGCGCAUAACCGAUGGCAAUCACGUUAAUAUUCGUGAGCCUUUCACAAGUGACUUAAUUUAAACCUUGUCUAAAUCCUUAUUUGGAUUGGAUUGGCAUACGUUUAAUUGUUAACAAGAAACAACUUGUGGAUAUAGACCGUACCAAAAACUGACACAGGUGGUUGGGUAGAGUAUACUAAGGUGUUUGAGAUAAUUGUGCUGAAGGAACUCGGCAAAUUGUAUGUGUAACUUCGGGAGAAACAUAACCCGCUUUGGGUAACCAAGGUUGGGUAUAAUAGAAAUGGAGGAAGCGACUGUUUAUCAAAAACACAGGACUCUGCAAAAUCGUAAGAUGAAGUCUAGAGUCUGACGCCUGCCCGGUGCUGGUAAGUGAAAUCUAAAUGUUAAUAGCGUUUUGAUGAAACCCCAUGUAAACGGCGGCCGUAACUAUAACGGUCCAAAGGUAGCGAAAUUCCUUGUCGGGUAAGUUCCGACCUGCAUGAAUGGCGUAACGACUUCCUCGCUGUCUCCAGCACAAGCUCAGUGAAAUUGAAAUCCCCGUGAAGAUGCGGGGUACCUGCGGCAAGACGGAAAGACCCCGUGCACCUUUACUAUAACCUUGUAUCGAUGUAUUUUGAUCAAUUGUAUAGUGUAGAUGGUAAGCGAUGAAAGUUGGACGUAAGUUUAACAUAAGCUAUCAAUGAAACACCAUCCUAUUGUCAAAUAAUAUCUUUAUUACUACAAGCCAAUCUUGAUGUGAAACAAUGCAAGGUGGGUAGUUUGACUGGGGCGGUCGCCUCCUAAAGAGUAACGGAGGUGUACAUAAGGUAGGCUCAUGACGUUUGGAAAUCGUCGGUAGAGUACAAUGGCAUAUGCCUGCUUAAGACUGCGAGGCAGACAUGUCGAGCAGAGACGAAAGUCGGUCAUAGUGAUCCAAUGAAUCUAAGUGGAAAGGACAUUGCUCAACGGAUAAAAGGUACGCCGGGGAUAACAGGCUAAUAACCCCUAAGAGUUCUUAUCGACGGGGUUGCUUGGCACCUCGAUGUCGACUCAUCGCAUCCUGGGGCUGAACAAGGUCCCAAGGGUAUGGCUGUUCGCCAUUUAAAGCGGUACGUGAGUUGGGUUCAGAACGUCGCAAGACAGUUCGGUCCCUAUCUGCCGUGGGAAAAAGAAUGUUGACGGAUCCUGUCUCUAGUACGAAAGGACCGAGAUGGACAUACCUCUGGUAUACCUGUUGUCGUUGCCAAACGGCAUGGCAGGAUAGCUAAGUAUGGAAUAGAUAACAGCUGAAUGCAUCUAAGCCGGAAGCUAAACCGAAAAUACAUUCUAUUAAGAGAAGUGAUAGACUAUCACGUUGAUAGGCCAGAUGUGUAAGUAUGGUAACAUAUUUCAGCUGACUGGUACUAAUAUCUCAAAA